rnacentral:lncRNA from 1 species
CUCAAUCUGGGUAGACACCAUCUAAUCAGCUACCAGCAAGGCUAGAAUAAAACAGGCAGGAGAAGAUGGAAGAGCAGACUUGCUGAGACUUCUGGCCUUCAUCUUUCUCCUGUGCUAGGUGCUUCCUGCCCUCGAACAUCAGACUCCAAGUUCUUCAGCUUUCAAAAUCUUGGACUUAUAUUGGUAAUUUGCCAGAGACCCUUGGGCCUUUGGCCACAGACUGAAGGCUGCACUGUUGGCUUCCCUAUUCUUGAGGUUUUGGGACUCGCACUGAUCCACCACUGGCUUCCUUGGCUCCUCAACUUGCAGCCGGCCUAUCAUGGGACUUACCUAGUGAUCAUAUACUCAAUCUCUAGGAAACCCAAUUGACAAGUUUCUGGCAAUUCAACACCAUGUAGUAUCGCACGUCAGAAAUCGGAAUGCUGUGACCUCUGAGAUAAUUCACCCACCGGAGUCAGACUGCUGAAGAACACUGGAUGGGUGGAAAAGGAACAUCUCAACCAGGAGAGAAGGAACUGAGUCAAGAAAGGGCUGCAUCUGGUGAAUAUGUCCCUCCCAGUGAUGGAACCCAGGGCUGCUGCAGCCAAGAGUCUAUAACAGUGGAGACGCCUUGAGCAAAGCCCCAGAGCCCUUGAGCUGCCUGUUCCCCUCCUCUGACAUGAUGGGUAAUCUGAUGGAAGCGCUGAGAGGCACUGCCUAGAAUUAAGCCCUAUGUGUAAACGAAGCAAGGAAGAAAGAACAUGUGCUAUCAAAUAUGAUUCAUGAUUCAAAUAUAUUUUAAUAUCUUAUUCUUUUCACACUCUGAGAAACUAUUCUGAUAAUGUGAUUGUUUUGUAAAGGAGUGU